GUGGGGAAUAUUGGGCAAUGGGGGAAACCCUGACCCAGCGACGCCGCGUGAGGGAAGACGGCCUUCGGGUUGUAAACCUCUUUUGUACGGGAAGAAGGAAGUGACGGUACUGUACGAAUAAGUCCCGGCUAACUACGUGCCAGCAGCCGCGGUAAUACGUAGGGGACGAGCGUUGUCCGGAAUUACUGGGCGUAAAGGGCGCGCAGGCUGUGCUGCAAGUCAGCUGUGAAAUGUCUGGGCUUAACCCGGGCAUGCGGUUGAGACUGCAGUGCUGGAGUGGUGUAGAGGCAAGUGGAAUUCCCAGUGUAGCGGUGAAAUGCGUAGAUAUUGGGAAGAACACCGGUGGCGAAGGCGACUUGCUGGGCAGCAACUGACGCUGAGGCGCGAAAGCCAGGGGAGCAAACGGGAUUAGAAACCCCGGUAGUCC
rnacentral:rRNA from 1 species